rnacentral:lncRNA from 1 species
UUUAUACUUUCAUGAAUACUUAUACUACUUUAAGUUUUUAUUUUCACAGUAGUUGAAUUCAGUGCUACAGCUGGGAUUUUAAGAGAUGCAGUCAGGUACAGUUUCAGGAAAUCGGUAGCAGACUUGUGGAAUUUUUUCAGAAAGGACGUGGCUCUGGGAAACUGGUGUGCCAAGUGAAGCCUGAAUGUAUAUUCAGAACACUCAAAUCACAUCAGGCUCAGGAAAUAAGUUGAGCUGAAACUGUCAGGAUUGUGGGACCAUUUCACAUUAAGGCCCAGUGGGCUUUAGCUGCUUCCAAGGACAGAAAUACUGCAGAAAGAGGACAAGAGAACAGACAAAAAGUAUCCAGCAAUAAGGCCAAGCAACUGGCACUAACAUUAAGGUAACUUCUGUAAGUACUGACAGGGGACAUGGGAAAGGGAAAUCUGAAACUCCCUUGUGUUAUGGAGGUAGUAUGAAGGGACAUGUUUUAGUGGGGAAGUAUUGAUGG